rnacentral:rRNA from 1 species
UACGAAGGGUGCUAGCGUUGUUCGGAAUUACUGGGCGUAAAGCGCGCGUAGGCGGCUAUCCAAGUCAGAGGUGAAAUCCCGGAGCUCAACUCCGGAACUGCCUUUGAAACUGUAUAGCUGGAGUGUGUGAGGGGAUGGCGGAAUUCCUAAUGUAGAGGUGAAAUUCGUAGAUAUCUGGAGGAACACCGGUGGCGAAAGCGACUCACUGGACCGACACUGACGCUGAGGUGCGAAAGCUAGGGUAGCAAACGGG